rnacentral:tRNA from 1 species
GGCUGCGUAGCUCAGUGGUAGAGCAAGGCUUUCAUAAGGCCGUGGUCGGAGGUUCGAAUCCUCCCGCAGCCA